UCAAAACUCAUCAAUCGUCUCCAUUUUCCUUCGUGUUCAAGUGGAUGGUGAAAAGAAUACACGCGAUAUUCUUUUGCCAGUUUAGUGAAAUAGUUCCCAAUUGUUUAAGAAAAUUGUGAUAUUUUCUUUAUUGUUGAGCCGGCGUUAAACCGGUAGCAUUUGUGAAGGCUCGAUUUAAAGUGAUUCUUUGGAAAUACUCAAUUGAUCACAUCACGGCUCUGCCCUUGAUGCUUAAUUAGUAGUGACAGUAGAGACCACAGAGAAGAAAAAAUCCAAUAAUGGGUCGCAAAAAGAAGAAGGCAUCAAAGCCUUGGUGCUGGUAUUGCAAUCGUGAGUUCGAUGACGAAAAAAUUCUUGUGCAACAUCAGAAGGCAAAGCACUUUAAGUGCCACAUUUGUCAUAAGAAGCUGUACACCGGACCGGGCCUAUCCAUUCACUGUAUGCAAGUGCACAAGGAGUCGAUCGAUAAAGUGCCAAACUCGUUACCGAAUCGGUCCAACAUCGAGAUCGAGAUUUACGGAAUGGAAGGAAUCCCCCCGGAGGACAUCCGGGAGCACGAGAAGCAGAAAAAUGGCGGUACCCGGUCUGAUUCGGACGACGACGAGCCGGCAGGGAAGAAAGUAAAACAGGAGGCCACUACUGCACAGAGUGUAGUGAUGCCGAGUAUGAUGCCACCCCAUCUUCAGCCGUACGGAAUGAACCCUAUGAUGGCAACGAUGGGCCAUAUGCCGUACAUGGUACCUCCAGGAAUGCCCAUGAUGCCACCAAUGAUGGGUGGUCCGCAUACGAGGCCACUAUUCCCCGCUGCUGCCUCAGCGACCACAAUUUCUGCGAACCCUGCAAUCAACAAAGCGACCUUCCCCGCUUACAGCAACGCAACGAUAAGUGCACCGCCAACCACCAACACAGCCAACGCUGCGAAUGCAGCCGCAGGCGACGCGUCCAAAUCUUCAGCCGUAAUACCCACAACAGGUACUACGUCCAAAAUUGUUCACCCGCCGGAAGAUCUCAGCUUAGAGGAAAUACGAGCGCGGAAGCCCCACUAUCACAAAAAAAUAAGUCUUGCGACGCAGCAGUUACUGCAGCAGAAGCAGCAAGAAAAACAUCAACAACAUGCAGCAGCAGCUGUGGCAGCGGCAAAUGUAGCCGCGCAUCAACAACAGCAACAGAUGCAAGCUCAGUUUAAAGCAUUUUCCUCGGCGGCUGCGGUCAGUGGGACUAACACGAUGGUAACGAGCCAACCGAGUAAGGACAGCCGAAUGAUGUCACCUCAGGAGCAAGCAGCUGUUAUAGCACAUGCACACGCUGCUGCGGCAAACCACCAGAAGCACAUCGAGGAACUGAAUCGAGCUACCAUGAUCCAUCGGCUGCAAGCAGCGAAUGCAGCGGCCGCAUCCGCUGCGGCAUCCCGACCCGGAUUACCAAUUGGAAUGGUACCGAUGUCGUUGAACCCCCAAAUGCAGCUCAUGUCUCCGAUGAUGCGGCAAGGACUCGCGAUUGGUCCUCCAGGUGCAGCUCUAAUUGGCGGUAACAUGAUCCGCCACGGUCCUCCACAAAUGGGGAUUGGUCCAGGCAUUAUUUGAGUAAAUCUUCCACCUUUUUCCACCAGUCUGUAACGAUGCUAUCCGGAUGCAGCAAAACCAUUAGUUGAAAGUACACAAAAAGAGAAACAUACAUAAAUGAUAUCUAGCAAGCAUGCACCAAAUUCUACUGCUGCCACAGCCAGACUGUAUUCCAAAUAGUUUGCUCGCAACCGAACUACAAUGAAAGAGAGAAAACAGAAAUCGAAACGACUCCAUUUGUUGCAGCCAUGUGGCCUAAUAACUCAGAUUCAGGCAAUGCCAGGCAUGGGCAUGAUGUUCCCGGGACCCCCGAUGCUGCCGAUGUUGCCGCCCCGGUACCGGUGAUCAACUCAAGGUGCACUAGUGCUGCGAACGGCCGGUCCUCUACUGAACAUUGCGCUCCCUAUCGUGUUCCCAUAGAGGGAGCGCAACAGAACGGACUGUUGAAGCAAAAAAAAAUGCAUCGCCGGCAUGUUAGAAGCAGCACCACUGGAAGCGAUCUGGAGAGGAGAUUGAUAGACUAAGAGUAUGGUCAUUCCAUCGACCCGGCAGCGAGUGAUCCUGUCUUGCAAGCAAGUGGAAAUUUUUCUUUCAAUUUUAAAUAUUUAUCACCUAGCAGAUAGCACUUCUAGUAUAGUAAGGUCUUACGGAAGAAAUGUACAUCGUGGUUAUAGUUUUGUGAGAUUCUCAUAUACUUUAUUUCGGCCGGGUAAAUUACAAAAAAGAGAUCUAAUGCUAUCAUAAUAUAUUAGUGGAAGAAAUUAUGUUUACAAUUCCCGGAUUACGAUACUAGUACAGCUUGUUGUUGCAGAUCCGAUUGUAGGUUUCUACCCCACGAGACAACUUUAACGUAACAAUACGUUAUAUAAAAAAAACAAAAAUCAUCUUAUUCUCGUUGCUAAAGCGGACAGCUUUGAUUGAUUCUGUUCCGUGUAAACGCGUCGUAGGAGUAGAUGAAGGUUCAGCAGCAUUUCUGUUCGAUAAGAACCAAUUGGAAAAUAACACCAUUCACAUAGCACCCAGAUGACUUUUACCGCACUCAGUAGAUGUGUUAUUCCAAUGAUAAAGUAAACUCAAUAGUCGUAAUAGAUCCUUAAUACCCCCCUACGUAUAUAUAUUCGACAGGUUCAUUUCUACUUACCCCCGAUAAUGGCUCAUGAAACUGAGCGAAACUAGUACUAGCACUAAAAAUGCGAUGGCCUUCCUCUACACGAAUCACGAGGGGUAUGUCACUCACAUUCUACUUUGUAUGAACUAUCACCAGUUAGACAGCUUUCUAUCGAUUUUCUGUCAUAAUUAAUGAAGGGUAAAAUCAACAUGGCAAGCAGCGUGCAAACUAAACUAAUUACGGAACAAUACAAACAUACAUUUAGAGCAACUUUGGAGUGAUUCGAAGAAAAAUAUGGCUUUGAGAUAAGUUUUCCCAAUUGAAUACUGUUGCUCAAUCAAUUAUAAAUCAGUGCCACCCAUAUUUUUCUUCGUGCGUUUUAUAAAACUUUUGAAUCAACGUUUCUAUCGAAAUUGAAUCGGUACUUGUAGAGCGAGUGUUAGGGUGAAGAGGUUUAAAUAGCAGAAAGAGUGAUCAAAAUUUAUGUACCCGUAGUAAUCACAAACUGUAAAUGUAGUGAGUUUUGGAGUAUUUCGAAACAAGGCCAUAACCGCUUGUUCUAGAACUACAAACUAACAGAACACGACAGACACAAUACUAACUGUUUUAGAAAUAAGCCUAUCGAUUUAAGAUUUCAACACACCAAUAACAGUUUUUAUCCUGUACGUUUCGUUCGAACAGAAAUAUCGUUAUACAUAUAAGAAUCGAUAGUGAAUGAUACCCUUGCAAGCGUGAAAAAGUAGGUACACAAAUGAAUCACUGACUAGACGCACUCGACGCAAGGUAAGGGACUUAUUUUUCCAAAAAAAAAAAAAUCAAAAUCAAACCAUAAUCCAUCACUAUGUUUGGAUGUAUCCUCGAGAAGAUUGCCAACUGCGGUCAGAGUCAGCAAGUAUUCACCUUUUUUUCUCCGUUACGCUCAUUAAACUACGUAAUUCGUCGCACCUUCGCCGAUACUCAGAUUAUCCGACGAGUCGGAAAACCGUAACAUUAUUCCAUUCUUACUAGUUCCUUCGAUCAAACGAGUCGUAAACAACUUAUAAUUUAUGUUGAUGGUGAAGGCUUUCAUUGUACGUUUGUGUGUUUUCUCUUACGAUUGUCUUGUGCUGGAUGGAACACAUCAUGUUAUACCGAGUUUACUAUUUUUGACACGUUGUUUUCUUGUUUAUAAGUUUCCCAAUUUUUCGAGGAAUGAGUACACACAAUUAUAAUACAUAGAACUGCUUACACCCUUGAGGGCUAUAGUUUCGGGGAGCAACUUUUUUGUUAUUUCAAUUAUAUUUUAAAUGUUACAACUCCCCCACCAGGUCCUAAUCGUAGAAACUCGCUUGUGUCAUUCUAGCAUACCCUAUUCGCCUCAUCCCACUGUGUAGACUUUUUUCUUUUAUUUAAUUUUCCCUUAAGAAUCACACAUUGAGCGCGUAAGUACACACAUCUUUUUCACACACUCUUAUUUUUUUCUCGUUUUUUCACUUUCCUCCACCAUCACUACACAGGCAAGUAAAUGUUAUUGGCUUUACUAUAGUAAUUAGCUGUAAUGGAAACCGAUAAUUCCCUGGUAGGAUGAUUGGUAGCUGUAUCAUGUCACUUCGCGGUUUAACAGAGGCAAAUUUUGAUUGAAUAGGAUAAGCCCAAGAUAAGACGCUAUACAGUCAACUGUUUUGUCGCAAACGACGAGAAUGGAUUAUUUUGACGUAGGACUACGUGUAACAGGAAUAUAUUGGUGGGAGGGGGCAAAAUGAAGAUGUAAACACUGAAUACGUAGGAAAAAUGAAAGAUUUCGAAUGCUUAUAACUCGAACAUUUCAAAAUAGAUCGCAGAGAUUUUUGCGUCAAUUGACAGGAAACAUUCCUAAGCAUUUAUCACAAAGAAUGAAGUUUUAUUUUUCUAAAGAUAUACCACUGAACAAUUGUGAAAUGUCAAGGAUUGUCUCCGCCCUAAAUACCACGUUUUGAUUGGCCCGAUUUGUGCUCCUAAAGAUGUACCGACCAAAAGAAGCAACCAGAGUAACAGCAAAAUACGGUUUCCUCAAUCAAAACCUCCAAAACCAAGGCGUAUGGGUGAUGAUGAUGAUGAUGGAUUAAAGAGACUUUAAACUCUGAGAAUUCAUUCGUCUCUGCAGGUGUAUGGGGAAAUCGGUAUUGCAAAUAUAUGCAAACUGCGGAUACUUUUGUACUCGCUUGCAUUUUUGCAGACCAGAAUGUGUUUCCCUAACACGGACUUCCAAGCUAUGGAGUAUGGGGAAUCGGCAUUGCAAAUAUAUGCAAACCGGGGGCGAUUUUGUUCACUCAUUUGUUUGUCUUGCAGUUCUAAUUGGAAAAAAUGUUGUAUUCUAUUCUCACAAAAUCAAACUCAGCAUAUUUAUAACAACAAUUGAACCCUAGUCUUCCAUCUACGAAACUAUGGAAAAACAUAAGUCGUUUAGGUCUUACCAAAACACAAAAUCGAGGAGAUGUCGGAGACUUAGGUUGCGUAACGGCUGAUUCAUUGACUCGAUUUUUCAUUUCUGAUUUGUUCCCGGUAUUUAAUGAAGGAGCCUGAAAUAAACUAUUUCUUAAACUUUUCCUUCAGGUCUGUUAGCUUUGAUGAAAUUUCAACAGCAAUCGGUUAUGACGAUACUGAAGCAUCUGAUGUGCUACUCCCGGUAUACAAAAAUAUUUUCAAUUGCAUAAUUACUAAAUCUACAUUCCCAGAAGCCAAUUACCAAAAACGACAACCCUACCGAAAACAAAGAUUUUAGACCAAUAAGCAUACUGCCUGCUUUAUCUAAAAUCUUUUAAAGUCUCCUAUGCAAACAACUUAACGAAUAUUUGCUUUGCAAUAACACUAUGUCGUCUUCAGUCGGGAUAUCGUAAAAAAUGCAGCACAACAACAGCACUAACAGUGGCGUCCAAUGAAGCAUUUGCACCCGUGGCGGAAGAGUCGAUUUGCUCCCCCAUCCCCCAUCAGAGAAUGAAUCAAUUAUGUUCAACUAUUUUAUUCAUACAAAUUCGGUUCUUCCUGGACCCCUAAAACAGUGUACCUGGGGGCGGUCCGAAUUAAGAAUGUGUUUUCAAACUUACAGAAUCUGAACUGGAGCUCCAUCAUAUUUACAAAACUGUUUUGUGUAUUUGAGAUUCUCACGACCUACGAAUUUGAUGGUUUCAAGAAACAGUACAAGCGUAUUAAAAAAAAUCAUUCCGCCAACGUGCUGAAAUUUUAUGGAACAACCUUCCUUUAAGCUGCAAGCUUGCUUCUUCAUUUUCUGCAUUCAAAAGAUUGUGUAGUCAAUACUUUUCAUCAAGGAACUAAUCGUCAUAUUAGUGUAGUAUUGAGACUUUGAGAACCAUUAGGUUAUUUAUACUAUUAUUUGGUUUUAUACAAAUAAAAAAAUAAUAAAAAAUGAUACUUAAGUAUUUCAAAUUAAAAUAAAUUAAGUUAUUUCAAUGAAAGUUCUCGUCCUCGCAUAUUUUCAAUGAAAGUUCUCGUCUUUUAAGAUAAAGAAAUGGAUCUAAAUAUUUGUUUUUUUUUUUAUAAAAAGUAAAGCGCUGCUUGGCGAGUCAAUAAAUAAGUGGCAGACCGAUGGAGCAAUGCAUCUACUGAAGCUCUUCCAAAAUUGAUUUGACGACUUUUACAACAUGUAGCCUACCAUUAUCAUGCAGAAAUAUCAAUUUGUAAUGUCUUUUGGCAUUUUGAGAGCGCUUGAUGCUCGACUUAGAUGGUCUCUGAAUAUUCUGUUUGGCCGUCGAUGUCAAUGCAUAGCCAUGCUUAUCACACAAAAUUCUGAGCUUCCGAUUGCCCAUUCCUGUUUUAAAGCAAUUGUAUGCAAGUAAAAACAUGAGUUCAUAUGGCAUCCAUGGUAUGGCAUUGUUUGUUCUUGCGCCAUUUCCACCUUGAAACUUUCGAGAUUUCAAUAAGCGUCUCGUCUCGUCUCGUCUCAUCACUUCAGAAUGCCAAUCAGCCCCCAAACAAGAAAUGUUAGAUAACUCAACCAUAGUUGAUAUAUGAUCAUGAGGAUUUUUUUACAGUUUUGACCAUUUAUCAACUGAAAGAUGUCGGAUUUUUCACACUCAACUCGAAUCGUUUGCGACAAAACAGGGAGCUCCAGGAAAAAAGCCAUAAUCCACUAAGCCUACAAUCGCCUCUUUUUCUAACCGAGAAAACUCAAACAUUUACACCAAGCCAACUCAUCCAACCACAGUGUAGCUAUUAAGUAGUGAUGUCCGUAUGACACAUCUGUCAGGUUUGAAGCUCGAGACCAGGAUUUACUUCAACUACUUUCUUUUGCUUUAUUUCUUCCUCUUCAAGAUUUUCUGUGAGCGCGCCUGUUCACAAGCCCUUUCGUAAUAAGACCUGACUCUGACAAAUGCGCAUAAAGUCGGAUCAUGAGGCACAUGUGCUCAAAGAAUCGAUAAGUACCUCACAUAUAUUUUUUUCUUUUCUCCUUAUAGUUUAAUCAGUACUACCUCUACAGUUACAAAACAAAUCGAAAGUCGCAUCCAAAGAUAAAAAACAAUAAAAAAAAACAAGAGUAUACAUUCAGUGCGUUCAAUAACGUAUAUUUCAUUUGAGUAACUUCCCAGGCAGGUGAUAGCAAGAGACAACCGAUGUCUCGUUGUCACAAGUUUGAUGUUGGAUAUUAGCUUAUCCCUUGCUUUACUGGGCUUGUUAAAGGACACUCGAUGUUCGUUCAAUCUACAUUACACCCUUUAACAAACUCGUCGAGCAGGCGACACACAGGCGAGAUGGUGAAAGUGUUGAAGACUGAUGUUCUUGAUUCAGGAGCAUGUAGUACUAGUUCAAUCUAAUCCAACCAAAACUGUUUAACGCUUUCACCAAAAAUCCGUUGUGUCACAUCAAAUUUGUUGAGUGAGAAGUCCCUUGUUGGAUCAGUGCCGACCCACAUACGGUAUUGAUACAACAGGUGAAAUUUUCCCCAACGAUAUUUCACAGCUCUAUCCAAGUCUACCAAAUAGUUUAAUGUGACGGAGAUGGUUUCUACUCAUAUUCUCUUCAGGAAAGAUAUUGUAUGUUAUUCGUUCUGUAUCUUAGGCAUAAUGUUUAUUCAAAACUAUGAGCUGUUGGACUUUUCAUCCCCUGCCUGGGGGCUUCUAGCGCAGAUUCUUCAAUGAA